ACCUGUGGUUCAGUAGCUGUUUUGGAUAGCAAGCAUGCUAUCUAUAGCUAACUGAUAUUUUGCAUUGAAUUAUUCUUAUUUCCAUUUGGUAAAGAUUUUUUAUGGUAUAUUAUGUCAAGUCGUCACCCGUGUUGGUAUCCGAAUGACAAAUAAUGUGAUAAAAAUCCGUCAGAAAUAGAUUCAGACUCUGCGGGAGGUUGAAGCCAUUUUAACUGGCUUCAUGCUGCAGCUGGGCAUAGCAUUCACCAACCAAGACUUGUUAAAAUGGCUGCCGUGUAUUUGAGAACGGUUGGAGUGUGUUACUACGAACGAGCAAGGUCCUCUUCUGAUGAAGGGCAUCCUAGCCACCCAAGUCUCUUCUGAGUCUCACCCUCAUAUCUGACUGCUUCAUCAUUGGAGUCAUCCUACAGUAUGCAUUAUAGUCCACUGCCUUGUUACAGUCAAUUCCCUAGACACAUACACUUUGGAUUGCUCUGAAGCCAAUCAUUUGUAUUGUCCUGUAGAAAUGUUGGCUUGUGUCAGUUCUCUGGUGAGAAUAAUAAAAUGGUGAUUGUCAGA